rnacentral:rRNA from 1 species
UACGAAGGGGGCUAGCGUUGCUCGGAAUCACUGGGCGUAAAGGGUGCGUAGGCGGGUCUUUAAGUCAGAGGUGAAAGCCUGGAGCUCAACUCCAGAACUGCCUUUGAUACUGAGGAUCUCGAGUUCGGAAGAGGUGAGUGGAACUGCGAGUGUAGAGGUGAAAUUCGUAGAUAUUCGCAAGAACACCAGUGGCGAAGGCGGCUCACUGGCCCGAUACUGACGCUGAGGCACGAAAGCGUGGGGAGCAAACAGG